rnacentral:rRNA from 1 species
AACGAACGCUGGCGGCAUGCCUAACACAUGCAAGUCGAACGAAGUCUUCGGACUUAGUGGCGCACGGGUGCGUAACGCGUGGGAAUCUGCCCUUGGGUGCGGAAUAACUUCUCGAAAGGGAUGCUAAUACCGCAUAAUGUCGUAAGACCAAAGAUUUAUCGCCCAAGGAUGAGCCCGCGUAAGAUUAGCUAGUUGGUGGGGUAAAAGCCUACCAAGGCGACGAUCUUUAGCUGGUCUGAGAGGAUGAUCAGCCACACUGGGACUGAGACACGGCCCAGACUCCUACGGGAGGCAGCAGUGGGAAUAUUGGACAAUGGGCGAAAGCCUGAUCCAGCAAUGCCGCGUGAGUGAUGAAGGCCCUAGGGUUGUAAAGCUCUUUUACCAGGGAUGAUAAUGACAGUACCUGGAGAAUAAGCUCCGGCUAACUCCGUGCCAGCAGCCGCGGUAAU